GCGUGGGAGGGAGGGUGGGAAAAAUUACUAGGAGAAGGUCAUUUGAAAACUCCAUUGGAAUAGAAGUCAUGGUUUGUCAUUUCCAGAACUAGAAGUGUCAUUUUGAAGUUUUUUUUUUUUCUCUCCUGUGUGUACUUGGUUAUUUGAAUAUGAACUUUUCUAUGAUGGACUCUAAAUAUAAAUAUAUGAAAGUAUAUAUAUUGUCAGCUCCCAAUGAUUUGUAUCAAUUUUCAUCAUCCUAUAAUUAUCAACAAAGUGAUUGACAUAUGUAUAACCAGAAAUUGGAUUGGAGUGCUAGGAGAAACUCUGAGGGUGCGGAUUUUGUGCUGCUGGGUACGAUGUCCGUGCUAACACUGGAUGCUUUUGCUUUGCAAACUGGAUCUACUUCCUAACACUUCACCGUUGCUAGAGAUCAUGAAACUCAGGAGGAGAAAGAAAAUAGCAGAGGAAGUCAAUGCAUCCACCCAGAUGAUUGCUUAGAUUGUUUAUUCCAGCUUGGGAAUUCAUCACCUGUCUGGAUAACGUUAAACCUGUACUUGAUACUUGUGUUGAUCAUUUCUGUAGUACUUUGUCUUUAAAAUAUUUCUUCCUUUGUUACAAAAUUAUAUAAACUGCACGGAGCUUUUGUGCAGCUGUGUUGGUUCAGCAGUUUUAUUCUGGGCCCUAAUGAGGAAAAAAUGGUCUCAAACUCCCCUUUUGAGUUGUAGAAAUAAGUUAGAAUUGUAACACCACUGACAACAGCACAAGAUCUGAAUUUUAAUUUGCAAGGAUGAGCAGCUAUGUAAUAUCUCUGAAUUGCACUUGCUUAAUUUAUAGACCUACUACUGGGGAAUUUUCUUCCAUUGUGUUUCUUUAAAUGUAGCUUUGAAUGCAUUCAGGCUUGACUCUGGGAAUCAGCCUGGAUACCUGCAUAGCCUAUGUGUUUUUAACCAUAGAACUUCUGCAUUUUACAGCUUUGGUCCAGCUGAUGUCAUUUUUCUAAAACAGUACUGUCAAAGGUAACCCCAACUUCGACCUGUCCUUUCUUAUGUUUGCAUAGACUAUAUACUUUUUUUAUUAAAAGCAAAUGCUUCAAUGAGCUUUUAAAAUGAGAAGGACAGUAAAUAAGCAUUGAUGAGUGAGACAGCAUUGACAAAAAUUAGUGCAGACAUGGAGUGCCAGGAAGUGGUUUUGGAAAGAUGGAUCUCAGAAAAAUAAAUAUAAGGGUUGAUCAUAAGGAGAGGAAAAACAUCUGCUGUACUGUAGUAUGCUGGUACAGUCCUCCUCUUUCUUUGUCCUGGAAGUAGAGUAGUUCCUAAUUUUUCAUUUUCCCUUGGCUGUACCUAUGCACCAAGUAUAGAGAUGGUACUCAUGGGCAAGGUCACUUCCCUGUACCCUAUGUGUCUGAAGUUAUGACUGCUUACCUUUUGGAUGGGGCCCUUAAAUCCAGUUUUACCUAUCCAUCAUCAUCUGACUUUUUAAUGAAUAAUUAAUACUUCUCUCCUUAUCCACAAUCCACUUUCUCCAAAACUUGCCUGUUUUAAAGGCCAGACAGUGGAUAAACUAUUUUCAGCUUUUAGUCUCUUCCUGUAGCCUUUUGACCGAGCUGAGAACUUGAAGAACAUGUUUCAUAAACAUAGCAAUAGAUGCCUUCAUGUUUUGGGAAACAAAUACUGAAAUAUGAGCUCAGCAGCAAACCAGUUGUUUGAGGCUUUGAAAAACAGAAUUUAAAAGGAAGUUAAAAAAACCCAACCACUCACCUUCAACUGUGGAGUUAUUUCCAUUCACAGUUGUGAUCUGAUUGAGGGUGUUACUAACUGAAAUCAGCAGCUGCAACUCUGAAUAUUGACCUCACCUGCCUCUUAUCUCUGAAUCAGAAUUGCUGGUAAAAAAAUUUUUAAAAAUCCAUAUUCCAUUGCUUAAUGACUACAACAUUCAUAAAGUAGGAAUAUUUUUUUCAGGAAUUCCCCAUGGAUGUUGUGCAUAGGGGUUUUAAUAUAGGAGCAGUAUGCUUUUCUUUGAGAGAACAGACAAGAAGUGGUAUCCUUUUGUUAUGUUUACAUGACAGUGUGCCAAAGUUACUGUGAUUUUAGGGGUUUUUAAUGCUGAAGAAAUUCACCCAUUUGAAAGAUAAAUUAAGAGCCCUUGAAGCAAAUUGUGAUGGAGUCUCCUGAGAACUUUUCUUACCGUCUUCAGAACAAGAAUGGUGAUACUGUUUAUUUUGCAGAUUUUCAAAACAUAGUUUGGAAACUGUUUUUUUCAGUUGGUUUGAAAAGUCUGCUGUACAGAGCUUGUACUUGUUCAUUUUAUAGAUGGAAACCAUCCUUGAAAAUUUGUUUAACUUAAAUAAAGAAGAACGCUUUAUAGAUAAGUGUGUGCUGGUUAAUGGAAUUGAGUAAAGGCAGUAAAAGCCUGCCUGGAGCUUGUAGAUUGAAGUAGUUUUCAAACACUUCAUUUCACUUGGUUGCUUCAGAAAGUUUCUCUUCUAUAGGUGUGUAUAUAUGGGUGUAUAUUUGUAUUGAUGAAAAGAGUUUUUUUUGUGUGUGUUUAAUACUGUGAUUUUGAGGAAAUUGUCUUAUUUUAGAAGUUGUGGACAGAGCUAAUGCUGGCUGUAUAGUCACCUGAAAAUAUAUUGUCAAGGCACUCCCCCUCCUGCCUCUCUAGGCCUGAGCUGCUGGAGAUUCCUGCUGUGCCUCUCUUUGCUCCCAGCAAUCGCCGUGCCAGGGCCCGGUGCAGAUGCAGCUCCCAACCCCUUGGGACACCUGUGCUCAUUGUGUUCAGGGGCUCCUGUGGUCUCCCUGCUCUCUUGUACAGGGUGGGCAUUCAGGUGCCUGCGCUGCACAACAUGAUCCAUGCAAAUAUUUAAACCAAAAAAUAGUUUUUCAUUUUUUUAAUAAGGGUUUUUUUAGAGGGCAAACACUCCACCGGUCUUGUUUAAUGAGUUUGAAAAUGAAACUGCACCAGGACAGCUGGGGAGGGAGCAAAUUCUACUUGGGAAGUGUGGAAGGAGAAUUUUCCUGCUGGCUUAAGAGUAGCUGGGGAUGCCAACAGGGCAUGGCCUGGCAUCCCCUUGGCAGAGCUGGGCUGCAAAGCUAAGUGGGGUGGAGAAGGGACAGCGUUCCAAAAAUCCCCUCUCUGACCAUCUGUGCAGCCUCAGAUACCACAGGUCAGCUGUUGGGGCAUAUCAUUCUUUCCCCCACCCUAUGGCAUACAGGGUUAGGUUCUUUGCUCCUGGUCUAAGAAACUCAGCUUUGCAGUCAACCCCAAGGGCAGGAUCAGCCAACAGAACCUGCAGAAGCAUCUAUAGGAAAGAAUGAAACCAUUCCCACUCUUUUAAUUGUACUGACAGGAAGAGUUUUUGCCUAGCAGCCUGUGGGAGAGGACGAGUACAGACUCUCUGUGUAGCAGAAAUCAAUGACUUUCAAAAUCUAAAUUAAAUCAAGGAAAUAGGUCUUUAAUAUUAAUGGCUGGCAAAAAUAAAAAGGCCUUGUCAAGGUGUAGUAAACAAAAGGAACAGUUUUCCAUCUGCAGGUUGUACUUGAGAAUUCAAAUGAGUAUUCUCUAUCUUAAAUGCCCUUUAACAUGUGGAAGCUGGCAGGUGAUACCUAAAGAUAAUUACAGCGGCCUUCUGGCAAUAGAAGCUUUUAAUCUGAUCCAGUGUUAAAUGUAGGAGUCUAUUAUGUCUCUGCCUAGAGUUUUCCAUGGUUCUGGUGUGGACUGUUCUCAGUUUACUUCCUGGUGUAAGUAGCAGGACUGAAUGAACCAUCCAGCAAAUUUUGCAUUGCUGCUGACCAGAGCUCCCUUGUUGCCACAUUACCUGAGUACAUAGAUCUGAAAAAAAGCUUCCCAUUCAUUUUCUGGAAAUUCAGGUCAUGCUUUUUAGCAGAAUUUUAUGCAUGGGUUUACUCUGCUGUCUUGUCACUGUGCAUAAAAUCAGGUGUCUUUAUACUGCUCUUAUAAGGGAAUGUUUGAGCUUUACUCCUUGUGGAUUAACAAAAGCAUUUAAAAUCUUAAAUUUUUAAAAAUAUGCCUGUCUGUAUUUGGAAAGGAAGUUGAAUUUUGGGAGCGAUAAAAAGGUUGCAACCUCCUUGAGGUAAGGAUUUUUUGUCUUGUUUGAAGUGGAUCCUAUAGAGCAUUGCCCAGUUCCAUUCUGGAGUGUUACUGCCAUAGCCUUAGUUAUUUUAAAAUGUUUAGUUUUUGUACACAAAUAGCGACAUUUAUUUUGCCGUAAGUUUAUUUUAAAUGUAGAUGCUGUAUCAAUUUACAUGGCCACAAGUGGCACACAGGCAUCACCCGUGUCCUCCUUCAAGCCUGAAACAGUGAAUAAUUUCAUAUCAAUAACUUCUUACAGAACACUCUAGCAAAAGGCUUAUUCCUCUACAGAAUCAUUUCAAGUGAAUGAAGCCACUGGAAAAAAACUCUGGGAUAAUAAGCUAUGAUUACAGAAUGAGCACAAAUGUCAGGGUUGCAGCUUUUGUUAGUCUGCACAUUUUAUUUACAGCUUAGCAUCCAGCAGCUAUUUUAAGAUCUGCUAGUAAUCAAGCUGAAAAACUGAGAAUAAAGUCAGUCCACAGAUGUUCUCUCUAUAGCCCUCCAAGAGGUCUGAAUGGGUGCAAAAUACCCUUUUGAUUUGACUUGAUUUCUUGCAGCACGGCAGCCAGUUGCUGCUCUGUAUGCAGAAAGAGGGAUCUGUUUGAUUUCAAGUUCCUAUUUCUACCCCACAGAUGUUUUUAAUCCAAGGAUUUUUGGAGGUAUUUUUAAUUAAAAAGGAUCUGGAAGUAGCAAAUAGCUUUCUGUCAAACCUGUUUUAAUUAAAGGUCACCUUUGGAAGUCUGGUAAAAACAAGGUUAGAAAAUUACUACCGAGGGUCUGUUGUGCUCUGGUAGUAUGAUCAGCACCACUUCUGUAAAAUACUCUUCUCAACUUUUGUGCCACCUCUCUCCCUGUCCAGCAGGAUGGUUUUGUAGUGAACAGAGUUGGAUUCCUGGUGGCAGCUUUGUGCUCAGCUGAGCCAGCCUAUUUGUUGCUGCUCACGGGGAAAGGAAUGCUGAUCCUGCUUCUCCUCUCUUGGAAUAGUGUUUCUGCCCAUUCUAUAAGACAAUAUAGGGAAGGCUGGCAAAAACAAACAAACAGAAAAAAGAAAAGAACCAACAACCCAAACACAAAGUGUUCUCACUUUUGGUAGCUGAAAGCCCUUUGAGCUUGGCUUAAUUAGACCAUAAAAUCAAGUCUUAUGUUUGUAUAAGAGAGACUGGCAUGAAGGAUGCUCUGGUUUGCCUUCCAGUUGAGAUGCCUAUUGUAGUAGUAAUAAGAAUAACAACAACUUAUGCCAGAACAGCCUUAUUGCCAUAUCUAAAGCCACCAGCACCUGUAGUAUCAAGAGGAGGAACAGGGGUGAGAGAGACGAAAAGAUUUUAUGUUUUUCAUCAAGGUCUUGGUAGCACCAAGGCAGGUGGUAGGAACUGAUGCUCUGGAGGGCCUGUCAGUUUGCUCAAGGAACAUCCCCAGAACUGUUUGUCCACCCAGGAAUCUCUGUGGUUCCCAUUUUACAGAGCAGGAUUAGGUGCUGGAAUGGAUCAAAGUAUUUGCAUAUCAUGCUGGUGUAUCUUAAGAGGGGAAAAUAGGCACAGAUAUAGCUCAAUUACAGGCCAAGUGGCACAGAGUGGAUGUCAGGGGCCAGUGUUUUCCCUUCUAAAUCUGAAGUUCUUUCAUCUUCAAGGAGCAGGAAUUGUCCCAUUUUGAGCUAGAAAGGCAAGGUGGCUGCACAAGAAGAGGUUAGGUCAUGAGCAGUAAGGAAUAUAUGAAUAGAGAGUUAACUCAUGGCUGUUCUUUACAAGUACAUCUUUAUUUUUAAAAAAUAUGUUUCCAGGUACCAGGCUUAGGACAAAAGCACUUCAUAUUUCUCCAGUGGAAACCAGGGCUGUAAAACAUGCAAAUGUAUAAAUGUGCACUGGGAUGUCUCUAAGCCAGAGAUUGAUGGGGGCUUGAAGGGCAGGUGAAGGUAAUACUGCUUGGUUUUAAUUCCAUUCCUUUGGUCUUUCCUUAGGCAAUUGGUUACUGGUUUAUUCAAUCCUUUGGUCCAUGCUGGCUCACAUUUUCCACCUGAAGUGUCCCGAGGCUGGACAAACACAUGGAUGCACUGAGCACCUUUGGAGCACAGCAGGCAAGAAUAGAGAGUGCAGCACCAGGAAUGUGCCAAGAGAUGGUGCCAGGUAGCAUAAAAGCCAUUUGGUUAUUUGCAACACAGGUGCAGAUCUGGCUGGGACCAGGGGCCAUAAAUCCAAUGACACAACAGGUAGGGUGAGCACAUGGGGGAAAAGCAGGGUCUGGCAUGUCUGGUGAUUAAACUUGGCACAGGCUGAGGCUGGGUCCCACCCAUGGAGCUGCAGGACAGCAUUUCCAGCUCCCUGGGGUUUGGGCUGUGGUAGGGCAGCUCCCUUGCAACAUCUGCUCUCCCUUGUUCAGAGGGACCCUGGUCAUCACCCCUGCAGGCUGCUCUUUGGGGAAGCAGUCAGGGAAGAGUCCCUCCCAAGCCUGUAAGCUGUCCAGGAUCCAUGAUUUACCACUGGCCUGCUGAACCACCACUGUACAUUGAAAUUUGGUGGUGAUGCUACCAGAAAAAUCAUGAGAAACAGAUCAUAUGGCCUGUGGGGAAAAGUUUCUGAAUUUGUUUUUCUUAUCACAUGAGCAAUAGAAAGCUGUUGCUAGUAGUCACUGGGUCCACUUGAAUGUCUGUGCUUGGUGUGUGUUUGUGUGUGCUUGCCCCAGGCCAGGAGGGCUUUUUUCUGGUUCAAAAAAGCAGUUCUAAAAUCACUGUAGUGGACCAUGCCUUGAAAUUGGCUGCUGUCAUCUCAGGCAAGAGAAUGCUGCUGUGUAUGGAUGAUUGUUUUAAGCUGUCUAUGGCCAGUUUAUUGCACUGGCCAAGAAGAGGCCACAGAUGUUUAACAGCUGGUCUGAGUCCUACUGAAGUAUCUUUCAGAUCCUCCAGGGUCACACACCUCAAGCUCCUGGCUGCAGUAACAGUUUUUCUUCAUUAAAUGUGCAAGUAUUUAUUCUAUUUUAGUAAGUUUAUUAAACCUGACUUGCAGUAUUUCAUAGCACUACUUUGCUCAGCCUGGCUGCAAACUGUGGGUGAUCAUCUGUGACCAAUUUAGUAAAUACUUGACAUUACCUGGUGUCUGGAAAGACAAACUGUGAAACUCUGCAGUGGCACUUUGUAAAUUACUUUACUGAACAGAGCAGUGCUCUACCUGCUCAAUAUUAAGUACAGGAUGGGAGUGAAAAAAAAUGUGAUUAUCUGAACACAGAAAUGCUAUGCUGAUGUUAUGCCAAGCUACUUGUAGGGAUGUCUCUCUUCUACGCAGUACCAGAAGUAGCUGUGGGUUUUAGGUGGUGAUGGAGAGGACUGAGAAAAGAUUAGUUGGAAUGUCAAGGAGAACAGUACACAUACUCUGGAGGAACACCGGCAGGUACAGAAUUGCAUUUUCCUUUGCAGGUGUUGGAUGGGGUCUUUCUUCUGUGGCUGGGUGCAAAUACAAUUGCUUAUGCUUGGAGAUCAACUUUUCCAGUCCAUAUGUCCAAUGUAUAACUAUGCCCAUUAAUUAAUGUGUUUGUCUUUAUCUCCAACAGUUUCAACCUGAAAAGGCUGGGAUACUGUUAGACUAGUAGACAAUGAACUUUUGCAGUUCCUGAGAGUGAUUUGCAAUUUAUUCUGGCUGGCUGCCUGCAGAUGCUAGUCUUAUUCACAGCAAUGAAUGUCUCUCCUCUCCCCACUUUCCCUCAAACCUUUCCAUUUUUUGGAGAUUAUUAUUUGGCAUCAUUGUAGCUGUUUCUAAAUUUUGUGUGUGUCCAGGAGAGAUGGAAGAGGUUUACUUUGCUGUUUCCCCAAAGGGUCCAAGACAAUGUUGCUAUCUUACAUCCUGCCUUGUUGCCCUUGGGGAGUCUGAAUCUGGCAGGAGGAAUAGCUGACAUUUCUUUUAAGAUUGCACUCCAGCCUUGAGCCACAGAAGUAGAAAAAGGAGCAUAUUUUGGCUUUGCACCUCAGUGUGUUCACGCUGCAGUUGUUACCAGCUGUCUCCAGGCUAGUGCAGGGCAGUGACUGCACUGUGGGCGGUGAGCCCGUCGGCUCAGGGGAGCUGAUUCUCAUCCAAGUUUGUGGAUUGCCAAUUCCCCAUGAAUCUGAGAACCUCCCUUGCUGCUGCUCUUGCUUCUUGGAUGAAGGACAGACUGCAGAUUCCCAGGCAAAACUUGUGACAGGAAAUGCAAUCUGCAAAAAAAACCCUGAUAAAAUGUAUUAAUCCCAUUCCGGUAUCCCUGGUGCAGGUGUUCCUGAAGAAUCCUGUCCAAGUCUUCACCUGGAGAAGUGAGAAUAUCAGAGAAGCAAGAGAGGUUUCUGGCUUCUCAAUUCACAUCACCUUUUGUGUAUUGAUUUCUUAAACUCUCAUUCCAAAAGACAAAACUGUGACUGUGCUGUAAUCUAAGGAACUGCUGCAUGAAGAGCAUCUCUGAAGAGAGAGAGGAGAUGGCUUUGCUUUGCAGGGAUCUGAUGAGAUUUAUUACUGCCUGUAAAGUGAUUUUUCAAAUCGUGGGUGAGGGUGCUUUAGGAGGGUCUGCUUUGACUUGGUGACAGUUGGGGAUAUCCUUCUCUGCAGUGUCUGUGAGGUGGCAUUUUUAUUCUCUCUGUUCCUCUCUAGGAACAGAGGGACAAGUGGAACAGGAUAUUAGAAAACACUGCAAAAGGGAAUGUUAAGUUUGGCUCAAUUAAUAAAGACCAUGCUGUUGGAAUAAAUUACAAAUUCUCCUGAGAAUAGCUUCACGGGAGAUUGAGUUACUGCAGGUCCUGGCCUGAUCUGGGUGGAUAGCAAUGUUGUAAAUGACAGCACCAAGGUAACGUGUGUGUCUGUGUCAAUCAGAUCCUGGGCUUCAUAAUUUCUUAAAUUAAAUUCCUUCUUUUAUUCAAUUAGUGUGUUAAAGAUGAUUUACAUUGUUUGUAGUACCUCUGCUGGUGGGCCUGAUCAGACACAGCAUUAGCUCUGGUCACAGCACAUCCAGGGAAGAAAGUGCUGUGCUGUGCUGCUGGGGGUGACCCUCCAGCCAUGACAGGGAACAAAGAGAAAUUCUCAGCUGGUUUAUGACACAGCUGCGCAUCUUGUCUGCUGUGUAGCUGGUCUUGCUGCAGGGCAUUGUAAUCCUCUCCUUGGGUCCCUCCUGCUGUGUGUGCCUGUGGAGCCAUGUGGGGAGCCACCUGUGCAGGGUUGUUCCUGUCUCGGGGAGCCCUGUCCUGAGCCAGGGCGUGGUUGUGCCAAUCCACCACCCUGAUGAUGCACCUACACAUUUCCAGCCUCUGCACUCCUUUGGGAUGAGCCAGCCUCCACUCUGAGCUGCAGGCACACACUGUAGUUUGACUGCUUCUUGAGCGUGGAUGUGACAUCUCAGAGCAGAAACCCAUGAGUUCCUUCCCUGCUGCUCAGCAGUGACUGUUGUGGUGCAAAAAACACAGCAGAGUCUAUUUCUUGUGUGAAGGGGCCAGACUGUCUUUCAGACCAGCAUUAAGGGCUGCUGAUGUCUCUACUUACGUGUUGAAAACAUUUCUGAGAUUUGGCUGUGUUGAACAGCCAGAAUCUCUUGCCUGCUCCCUUUUGUGAUACUAAGCAUCUUCAGAAAAAUAAUCCCCUUCUAGGGACUGGGUCCGUAAAGACAUCAAAUAGGUCAAGGGGCUUGUUGCUGAUUGCUUCUGUUAAUGUUUUAUUUUCCCUGGAAUUCUGGCUUUUUCUUAGAACAGCUUAGGUGCAAACUAAAUUCCUUCAUGUGGAGAACACAAGAUGCUGUGAAGAAAGACCUGUGCAAAUCAGACAUGGCAGCCCGAGAGAUCCUGACCAGAGGUCAGUGUUGAGCCACACUCACACCUGGAGAUGCUGGGGCAGCCCAGUCCCAGUGGAGCUUUUGCAGUCACGGGGAAAGGAGGGACACAGCCCAUCUUUAUUGUGGUUUUUGGCAAAGUCUGACUGUAACCCCAACAUGUGUUCUCCUGCAAGGCUUCUGGUGCCUUGGUGGAAUAAGGUUUAAACCAGGUCCUAGCAACUUGCUGACUUGGAGCUAUGAAACAGCAGCCAUCUGCAGAUCACACGGGUCUGGUUUUGCCUGCAAAUGUCACUCAUUUGGCAUGCAGGUCAUGGGUUUGGUGCAGACAAUGCUCUCCAGGAAGAGCCUGAGCAGUGAGGACAAAGGGCUGGUUCUGUUUAGCAGAGAUAUUUGAGAGCUGAGAGCUCUCCAUGUCCUUGUGUCCACCCUGCUCUGCCCUCCCAGGUGGCUGGGAAACGGAGUUGGGAUGGCACUGGGGGGACAGUGGUCCCCUUUCCUAUGCCUGUGUGCAGACUUCACUGAAAGGCUUUUUCAAGUCCUUUGUCCCCGUGGCUGGAUAAAGAUGGUAGGUUUAUUAUUCUAAUGGUCUUAGAGUGUGAACCUGUAACUUGUCUUGCAGUAUAUUCUCUACAUCCUUUCACUUACACACCCAGAGCAUGACCAAAUAUCUUCCCCACCUAUUUCAGAAAAGAACAAGACAGGAAAAGCAACGGGUAAUAUAUCUGACUGUAUUUCAAAGUUGUUGAUUGUAAACAAACUUUGUUGAAGAAAUAAAAUCACAUGACAAGAUAUCAGAGUGAUACUAUAAAUCCAUUUUGUUAUUGUUGCCACACUUCACAUUUUUGGAACUUGGAAUUCAGCUUAUGGUGUACAAAAGUUGUAAAAAUUUAUUGCAAGCGUGCCUUUGUGUAGAACAAAACUGGUGUCACAAAAGUAGUUCCCUGUCCCAUGCAGAAAUACAGUUGUGUGUCUCUUACCGUGAAGAGGUCACACACCUGCAUUUCCCGAAAGACUUGGCUGUUAUAAAAUUGCUCUGAGAUUUUUUAAAAGAAAAUGAAAAAAAAAAAGUAAUUUGCAGUGUAUACUUUACCUAUGUGAUUUAUGCUUUCAACAGAAAUCUUUAGAAUUGUAAAGAAUAUGGAGCUUUGCAACAGAACUGCAGUUGCUGAUGGUGUGAGCACAGCCCAGUGGUCUUGAAAGCACUCAGCCAGCUAAGGCCCAUCUUCGCCUUUGGAACUGUCUCUGCAUUUGAUGGAAUGUAAGUUGCACACAUUGAAAAAUAAAUGAAAACAAAAUGUCAAGGGGGAGACUCCUUCUCCAGAAUCCCCAUUGUUCCUGUUUCUACUGUGGUGCUUCCACAGUCUGUAGCUUCCAUGCUGUGCUGACAUGCAGCAGUGCUGUGACUCCAAGGCUGAUGACUACUGAACAUGUACAGUCUAAGGAAAGGCGUGGGGUGAGGCCAGGGAUGUAGGUAGCCAAAGCAGGGUUUGUGCAGACUAGUUAUGUUAAACAUCAGCCUUUUCUUUUAAUUCAAAGGUAUCAGGAGAGGGGGAUAUACAUGCUGGAAUGAUGAGAGUUAGAAGGGAUCACCUGGCUCUUCUCUCUCCACAUGCCCAUCCUCUGAACUUUCCUCUGCCUUCUCAAACCCACUGUUGCCCUUGAACUUCUCCUUGUGUCAGACCAUGCUGAUUAGCCUCACCUUUAUAGGAUCAGAUUAAUCACUGUCAUAAACCUGAGUUUUGUCUCUCUGAUAUCACCCCCAGUCCAUGGGAUCAAACUAUUUUUUUAUUUCAGUACUUAAAUUGCAGGCAAAGAUUUGGUUUAUAUCUAGAAGAAAAAUCCAAGCUGCAAAAUAAGUCCAAGAGACCUGCAAACUGUUUUUCAUCAAAUGAGCGACUGUGUUUUAUAGAGACAUGCAAAUUGUUCAGCAGUCACAUUUUGCAAAUGCCUUGACAUAGAUUAUUUGAGAACAAGACCACAAAGUUACUUUGACACAAGUAGGUUGGGGUUCUGGACAGCUGAACCUAGUGCACUGUGUUUUGCUUUUCAAUUUCUAGGCUUUUUGGGAGGAACUAGUGGAAAUAAAUAAAAA